rnacentral:lncRNA from 1 species
GCCAUGAGGGCGGGAACCCUCGUACGCGGAAGUUCAUGAGGGCGGGACCCUCGUACGCGGAAGGUCAUGAGGGCGGGACCCUCGUACGCGGAAGUUCAUGCGGGCGGGACCCUCGUACGUGGAAGGUCAUGAGGGCGGGACCCUCGUACGUGGAAGGUCAUGAGGGCGGAACCCUGGUACAUGAAAUUCGUUCUCUUAUUUAAGAGACAAAGAACGCCCUUGUUUUUUCCACCACGUGAUGGCGCAGACAGAAGACAACCAGCAUCUAUGAACCAGGAAGCCCCCACCAGGCACUGAAUCUGCCCCUGCGUGGAUCUUAGACUUGCAGACUCCAGAACUAACCUUACAAUGUCUCUUCUCCAUUAAGAAAACCUACUUCAACAUCUCCAUUGGUUCUCAACAUAGAGGUCCAAAUUUUGGUCUGGAGCCAGAGACAAUAUAGGAUGAAGUUUGAUUUGUUCCAAAACCCACAGAAAUCUCUAAAAUGGAAGAAUUUUCUUAGAACCAAAAGGCAUGGAAUUGAUGACAUGAAACUGGUAAGUGGGAAACUAAUUGUCAAAUUACUAAUUUUGUUGGCAUUAAUAUCAAUACCAAGACAAGAAGAGCAUGAACUGUUGAGCGAGAGGUUUUUCUUCUAUACCUUCUGCUGCUGCUGGGGAAAUUACUCUGGAAUCAAGUAAAGAAUUAAAUUGGUAUGAUCCAUUUGCUAUU